AUUGAACGCUGGCGGCAGGCUUAACACAUGCAAGUCGAGCGCGCGGCGGGCGGGUGAGUAAUGUCUGGGAAACUGCCUGCUGGCGGGGGAUAACUCCUGGAAACGGUAGCUAAUACCGCAUACCCUCAGAUGUGCCCCGAUGGGAUUAGCUAGUAGGUGGGGUAAUGGCUCACCUAGGCGACGAUCCCCAGCUGGUCUGAGAGGAUGACCAGCCACACUGGAACUGAGACACGGUCCAGACUCCUACGGGAGGCAGCAGUGGGGAAUAUUGCACAAUGGGCGAAAGCCUGAUGCAGCCAUGCCGCGUGUAUGAAGAAGGCCUUCGGGUUGUAAAGCACUUUCAGCGAGGAGGCGUUACUCGCAGAAGAAGCACCGGCUAACUCCGUGCCAGCAGCCGCGGUAAUUC
rnacentral:rRNA from 1 species